rnacentral:tRNA from 1 species
ACCCAGCUAGCUCACUCAGUAGAGCAUGGGAUUCUUGAUCUUGGGGUUGUGAGUUUGAGCCCCACGUUGGGUG